GGCUGCAAUCGUCUCAUUAUCAAUUCAGAUAAUAUGGAAGUCAUUGACACAAUGAAGAACGGUGGAGAGUCUGCGGGAGCAGCGGCGGCAAUGAUUUUUUUUAUGGCAUGUGAUUUUCCACAAACCAGUUUUGAACAUUGUAAUAGAGAAGCGAACAAAGUAGCUCAUGAGCUUGCUAGAUUAGCAAAAUGUUCCACGACUAGGGAUUGGAUAGAGGAGCCCAUGGAAACUCUUGUAACUCUUCUGAUAGACGAUGUAACCAUUAUCUCUAAUUAA
rnacentral:rRNA from 1 species